rnacentral:rRNA from 1 species
CCUACGGGAGGCUGUAGUGAGGAAUAUUGGUCAAUGGACGCGAGCCUGAACCAGCCAAGUAGCGUGAAGGAUGACUGCCCUACGGGUUGUAAACUGCUUUUAUAAAGGAAUAAAGUGAGGCACGUGUGCCUUUUUGUAUGUACUUUAUGAAUAAGGACCGGCUAACUCCGUGCCAGCAGCCGCGGUAAUACGGAUGGUCCGAGCGUUAUCCGGAUUUAUUGGGUUUAAAGGGAGCGUAGAUGGGUGGUUAAGUGAGUUGUGAAAUUUUGCGGCUCAACCGUAAAAUUGCAAUGGAUACUGGCAGCCUUGAGUACAGUUGAGGUAGGCGGAAUGCGUGGUGUAGCGGUGAAAUGCUUAGAUAUCACGAAGAACUCCGAUUGCGAAGGCAGCUUACUAAACUGCCACUGACAUUGAUGCUCGAAGGUGUGGGUAUCAAACAGGAUUAGAUACCCGUGUAGUC